CAGGAAAAGGAUUUAAGUCCUACCUUAAGUUUCUUCGUAACUCUAAUUACUUCACAAAACUUAAGAGCUAUUCAAAUAAGGUACAGCCUAUUUGAAACAGGAUACAACCUACAACAUUGGGUAAUGAUUUCUGCUUCAUAAUUAAGUGGGCCUAAGAGCAGCCACCUUUAAAAAAGCGUUAAAGCUUUAUUAUACUAGCACAAUAAUUACAUUAAUCCCCCAAAACCCUUAUCCCAUACUGAGUGACUUCAUAAUAUUAUGAAAAACCAUAUGCUAGAACUAGUAACAAGAAGAAGACCUUCUCCAAAAUGUACGUAUAGGCCAAAAUGAACAACUCAUUGGCAUUUACCGCUUAUGAACUAACAGUAGUAACUUAACAAGAAAACUCUACUAUCCAUAACGUUAACCUUACACUAGCGCAUUCCUGGAAAGAUUAAAAGGAAGGGAAGGAACUCGGCAAAUAAUAACCUCGCCUGUUUACCAAAAACAUCGCCUCCUGAAUAGUUAUAGGAGGUCCAGCCUGCCCAGUGACAAAGUUAAACGGCCGCGGUACCCUAACCGUGCAAAGGUAGCGCAAUCACUUGUUCUUUAAAUGAGGACUAGUAUGAAUGGCAUCACGAGGGUUAUACUGUCUCCCCCACCUAAUCAGUGAAACUGAUCUUCCCGUGAAGAAGCGGGAAUAGAAUUAUAAGACGAGAAGACCCCAUGGAGCUUUAAACUCAACAUCAACUGCCCUCUAAAUAACUUAUUAACCACGCAGAUCUGACAGUUAGUUUUCGGUUGGGGUGACCGCGGAGUAAAACAAAACCUCCACGAUGAAAGGAAUUAACCUCCUAAUCUAAGAGCUACAGCUCUAAGAAUCAACAAAUUGACAAAACUUGAUCCAAAUACUUUGAUCAACGAACCAAGUUACCCUGGGGAUAACAGCGCAAUCCAUUUCAAGAGCUCAUAUCGACAAAUGGGUUUACGACCUCGAUGUUGGAUCAGGGUAUCCCAGUGGCGCAGCCGCUA
rnacentral:rRNA from 1 species